UGAAAUUGAUCUCCCCGUGCAGAAGCGGGGAUAAUACCAUAAGACGAGAAGACCCUAUGGAGCUUUAGACGUCAGAGCAGCCCAUGUAAAGCACCCCUUAACAAAGGAAAAAACCAAAUGAAGCCUGCCCUAAUGUCUUUGGUUGGGGCGACCGCGGGGAAAUACAAAACCCCCAUGUGGAGUAGGAAUACACAUUCCUAAACCCAAGAGCUCCCGCUCUAAUGAACAGAAAUUCUGACCAAUAAGAUCCGGCACACGCCGAUCAACGGACCGAGUUACCCUAGGGAUAACAGCGCAAUCCCCUUAAAGAGCCCUUAUCGACAAGGGGGUUUACGACCUCGAUGUUGG
rnacentral:rRNA from 1 species